AGUGAACGCUGGCGGCAGGCCUAACACAUGCAAGUCGAACGGCAGCACAGUAAGAGCUUGCUCUUACGGGUGGCGAGUGGCGGACGGGUGAGGAAUACAUCGGAAUCUACUUUUUCGUGGGGGAUAACGUAGGGAAACUUACGCUAAUACCGCAUACGACCUACGGGUGAAAGCAGGGGAUCUUCUGACCUUGCGCGAAUGAAUGAGCCGAUGUCGGAUUAGCUAGUUGGCGGGGUGAAGGCCCACCAAGGCGACGAUCCGUAGCUGGUCUGAGAGGAUGGUCGGCCACACUGGAACUGAGCCACGGUCCAGGCUCCUGCGGGAGGCAGCAGUGGGGAAUAUUGGACAGAGGGGGCAAGCAUGAUCCAGCCAGACCGCGUGGGUGAAGAAGGCCUUCGGGUUGUAAAGCCCUUUUGUUGGGAAAGAAAAGCAGCAGGUUAAUACCCCGCUGUUCUGACGGUACCCAAAGAAUAAGCACCGGCUAACUUCGUG
rnacentral:rRNA from 1 species